rnacentral:ribozyme from 15 species
GCUUGAAUGUUUGUUGUUUUUGUGUUUUUUUGUUUUGUUGUUUUUGA